CUUUUGGAGAGUUUGAUCCUGGCUCAGAGUGAACGCUGGCGGCGUGGAUUAGGCAUGCAAGUCGAGCGAUCCCGCAAGGGAUAGCGGCAAACGGGUUAGGAACACGUAGAUAAUCUUCCUUAAAUCCUGACAUAGCCCUAUGAAAAUAGGGGUAAUAUCAGAUAAUACCGUUGGAGGGCAUCUUCCGACGUUUAAAGUAGGGGACCGCAAGGCCUUACGAUUUAAGAUGAGUCUGCGUAGCAUCAGCUAGUUGGUAGGGUAACGGCCUACCAAGGCUAAGACGCUUAGCUGGUCUGAGAGGACGACCAGCAACACUGGGACUGAGACACUGCCCAGACUCCUACGGGAGGCUGCAGUCGAGAAUAUUUAGCAAUGGGCGAAAGCCUGACUAUGCGACGCCGCGUGAGGGAUGAAGGAUUUCGGUUCGUAAACCUCUUUUGGCAGGGAAGAAAAUG
rnacentral:rRNA from 1 species